rnacentral:rRNA from 1 species
AUGGGGAGGCCGGCGAUGGAGAGCAGCAGCGAGGAGGAGCUGGAGGACGACUUCCCCGGCCACGAGUGGAUCACCCCGCAGUCCUCCAUCCGCGCCGCCUAUCAGUCCCAGACCGAGAAGGGUAUCAGGAAAACUUGCUCUGAGCUACUGGAGCUGAAGGAUGCCAUCGAAAACCUGUGCGGGAAUAUGCAGUCGAAGUACCAUGCUUUCCUCAGAAUAUCCGAGGAGGUUGUCGAGGCAGAGCAAGAGUUAAUUGAGCUGCAGAAGCAUGUGUCUGCCCAGGGGAUGCUUGUGCAAGAUCUGAUGAGUGGUGUGUGCCGGGAACUUGACAUGUGGCAAAAAUAUAGUAAGGAGGAACAUGUGGUGGAGAAGGAUUUUCAAAGUGAACUUAAUGAAAUUUUAUCUGUUGAUACUCAAGACCCCAAGGUUAUUUUUCUGGACGAAAUAGACAUUUUGCUUGCAGAGCACAAACUAGAAAAGGCACUGCUUGCCCUGGAUACUGAAGAGAAGAAAUAUAUGACUACAGAUGGUUCAGGCAAAGAAUCAGAUGCAGAGAUUUCUGCCUAUAAGACAGCACUGUUUAAAAGGAAAUCAAUUCUUGAGGAUCAGCUUGUUAGGUAUUCAGAACAGCCAUCUUUAUCUAUUACUGAACUAAGAAAAUCUCUGUCUGGUUUAAUUAAGAUUGGUAAAGGUUCUGUAGCCCAUCAAGUACUUCUAAAAACCUACGGUUCACGUCUUCACAGAGAUGUUGAGGCAUUUCUUCCCACCUGUUCAGUCUACACAGAAACUUACUCUGCAACCUUGUCACAACUUGUUUUCUCAGCUAUCUCAAAGGUGUUGAAAGAAUCUAGUACGCUAUUUGGAGAUAGCCCCACGAAUAUGAACCGGAUUAUCCAAUGGGCUGAAUAUGAAAUAGAAGCUUUUGCACGUUUGGUUAAAGAAAAUUCUCCUUUGCCUGAGAGUGUUUCUGCACUUCGUUCUGUUUGCAUAUGCAUACAAACUACUCUCGCUCACUGCUCUUGUUUAGAAGCACAUGGGUUGAAAUUCUCAAAGUUACUUAUGUUACUAUUGCGACCUCAUAUUGAAGAAGUGCUUGAACUGAAUUUUAGAAGGGUGAGAAGAAAGAUUAUUGAUUCGGCAAGGAAUGACGAUAUUCUGCGCCUUGGACCUCAAGAAGGAUCACCGACAUCUGAUUCAGUUGCACCUAAGAUGAUGCUUACAAGCAGUGGAAAGAAGUUUAUGUCAGUUAUCAAUGAUCUUUUGGAUCAUGUUACCCCAAUGACCACAGUUCACUUUGGUGGAACAAUUUUGAGCAAUUUUCUCCAGCUAUUUGAUAGAUAUGUCGAAACACUUAUCAAAGUGUUGCCUGGACCUUCUGAAGAUGAUAAUGUAGUGGAGUCACAAGAGCCUGUAGAAUUAAAAGCUGAAAGUGAUGCGCAGCAGCUUGCACUAAUUGGAACUGCAUAUACCGUAGCAGAUGAAUUAUUGCCAGCAGCUGUAUCUAAGUUUUUUGAUAUGCAAACCAAGAAGAAAGAAACUAGUGGAACGAGUGAAGGCCUUGGUCCUGGGUCCGUAUACUCCACAGAAUACAAAGAGUGGAAACGUCAUCUACAACAUUCAUUGGACAAACUGAGGGAUCACUUCUGCCGACAAUAUGUCUUAUCAUUUAUUUACUUGGAAGGGAAGUCACGAUUGGAUGCUAGAAUGUACUUGGAGGGGAACAGGGAUGAUCUUUUUUGGGAUUCUGAUCCCUUACCUUCACUACCUUUCCAGGCGUUGUUUGGAAGGUUGCAGCAGCUAGCUAGUGUUGCUGGUGAUGUUCUACUAGGCAAAGAGAAGAUACAGAAGGUUUUGCUUUCAAGGCUAACUGAAACGGUUGUCAUGUGGCUCUCCAAUGAACAAGAAUUCUGGGAUGUCUUUGAGAACGAGUCCAUCCAGCUCCAGCCUUCUGGACUUCAGCAGCUUAUUCUUGAUAUGCACUUCCUCGUUGAGAUUGCCGUAUGCGGACGGUACCCGCACAGACCAGUUCAGCAGCUUGUGUCAGUAAUUAUUACUAGAGCAAUUGCAGCUUUCUCUGCAAGGGAGGUUGACCCACAAAGCGCUCUUCCGGAGGAUGAAUGGUUUCUUGACACUGCCAAGACUGCAAUCAACAAGCUCAUGCUAGGGACUUCUGGAUCUGAGUCCGACCUCGAAGCGCCUAUCGCUCCGCAUGAUGACGGGAUAUCAGAAGAUUCAGAUAGCAUUUCAUGUCUGUCGAGCAUGGGGUCUGAAGAUUCAUUUGCUUCUGCAAACAAUGAUGACCUAGAAAACCCUGUUUACUUCACCGACCCUGACUCGUAG